GUGGGUAGGGGUGAAAGGCCAAUCAAACCUGGAGAUAGCUGGUUCUCCCCGAAAUAGCUUUAGGGCUAGCCUCUUGUUAUAGAGUCGUGGAGGUAGAGCACUGGAACGGCUAGGGGCCCCAAAAGGUUACCAAACCGUACCAAACUCCGAAUGCCAUUGACUUGUUGCAAGGGAGUCAGCUUACGGGGGAUAAACUUCGUAGGCGAGAGGGAAACAACCCAGACCGCCAGCUAAGGUCCCAAAGUGCAGGCUAAGUGAUUAAAAGGAUGUGGGAUUGCUAAGACAGCUAGAAUGUUGGCUUAGAAGCAGCCACCAUUUAAAGAAAGCGUAAUAGCUCACUAGUCAAGUGAUCCUGCGCCGAAAAUGUAUCGGGGCUAAGCCUGUCACCGAAGCUGCGGAAUUGAGCGUCCUUCGGGGCGCCCAAUUGGUAGGGGAGCGUUCCAUGGUAGGUCGAAGGUAGACCGUAAGGUCUGCUGGACGAAAUGGAAGUGAUUAUCUCGGCAUGAGUAGCGAUAAGGCAGGUGAGAAUCCUGCCCACCGAAAGUCUAAGGUUUCCCGGGCCAGGCUCGUCCUCCUGGGGUUAGUCGGGACCUAAGCCGAGGCCGAAAGGCGUAGGCGAUGGAAAACAGGUCAAAAUUCCUGUACCACUCGUGGCGCGUUCGAGCUAUGGGGUGACGCAGAAGUGAAAGGUCAGCCAGCGACUGGAAAUGCUGGUCCAAGUCUGUAGGAGGAUCACCUAGGCAAAUCCGGGUGGUCAACUCCGAGAGGCGAUGGGGAGCCGUUUAUCGGCAUAAACUGACCCUAAUCAUGCUGCCAAGAAAAACCUCUAUGUGAGUUCCACGGGUGCCCGUACCGCAAACCGACACAGGUAGACGAGGAGAGUAUCCAAAGGUGUGCGAGAGAACCCUGGUUAAGGAAUUCGGCAAAAUGAUCCCGUAACUUCGGAAGAAGGGAUGCCCUCAGUAGGUGAAACCCCUCGCGGGUGGAGCCCAAAGGGGCCGCAGAGAAUCGGGCUGGGCGACUGUUUACCAAAAACACAGGUCUCUGCUAAGCCGCAAGGCGACGUAUAGGGACUGACACGUGCCCGGUGCGGGUAAGUUAAGAGGAGGGGUUAGCCUUCGGGCGAAGCUCUGAAUCGAAGCUCCCGUAAACGGCGGCCGUAACUAUAACGGUCCUAAGGUAGCGAAAUUCCUCGUCGGCUAAAAACCGACCUGCACGAAUCGUGUAACGACUUGGCCGCUGUCUCAACGAGGGACUCGGUGAAAUUGUAGUUCCGGUGAAGAUGCCGGAUACCCGCGGCAGGACAGAAAGACCCCGUGAACCUUUACUAUAGCUUGGCAUUGGGUUUUGAUACUGCAUGUGUAGGAUAGGUGGGAGGCUUUGAAACGGGAUCGCCAGAUUUCGUGGAGCCGACCUUGAAAUACCACCCUUGCCUUGUUAAAAUUCUAACCUUGGUCCUUUGAUCAGGAUCGGGAACAGUGCCAGGUGGGUAGUUUAACUGGGGCGGUUGCCUCCUAAAGAGUAACGGAGGCGCCCAAUGGUUCCCUCAGCGCGGUCGGUAAUCGCGCAUAGAGUGUAAAGGCAUACAGGGAGCUUGACUGCGAGACCUACAAGUCGAGCAGGUGCGAAAGCAGGGCUUAGUGAUCCGACGGUUGCGCGUGGAAGCGCCGAAGCUCAACGGAUAAAAGGUACUCCGGGGAUAACAGGCUUAUUGCCCCCAAGCGCUCAUAGCGACGGGGCAGUUUGGCACCUCGAUGUCGGCUCAGCGUAUCCUGGGGCUGGAGAAGGUCCCAAGGGUUUGGCUGUUCGCCAAUUAAAACGCUACGCGAGCUGGGUUCAGAACGUCGUGAGACAGUUCGGUCCCUAUCCGCCGUGGGUGUAGGAUAUUUGAGAAGAUCUGACCCUAGUACGAGAGGACCGGGUUGGACGAACCUCUGGUCAACCAGUUGUUCCGCCAGGAGCAUCGCUGGGUAGCUACGUUCGGAAGGGAUAAACGCUGAAAGCAUAUAAGCGUCAAGCCCACUUCAAGACUAGAUAUCCCGUAGGGUUAACCUACCUAAAGGCCCCUCGUAGACUACGAGGUUGAUAGGUUGCAGGUGGAAGCGCAGCAAUGUGUGAAGCCGAGCAAUACUAAUUGGCCGUGAGGCUUGACCAU
rnacentral:rRNA from 1 species